CCUGUAUCUGACAACCUCUAUGGCAGUGUCCUGUAACCACCUCUAUGGUAUUGUCCUGUAUCUAACCACCUCUAUGGUAGUGUCCUGUAUCUAACCACCUCUAUGGUAGUGUCCUGUAUCUAACCACCUCUAUGGUAGUGUCCUGUAUCUAACCACCUCUAUGCUAGUGUCCUGUAUCUAACCACCUCUAUGGUAGUGUCCUGUAUCUGACAACCUCUAUGGCAGUGUCCUGUAUCUAACCACCUCUAUGGUAGUGUCCUGUAUCUGACAACCUCUAUGGCAGUGUCCUUAUCUAACCACCUCUAUGGUAUUGUCCUUAUCUAACCACCUCUAUGGUAUUGUCCUUAUCUAACCACCUCUAUGGUAUUGUCCUUAUCUAACCACCUCUAUGGUAUUGUCCUUAUCUAACCACCUCUAUGGUAGUGUCCUGUAUCUAACCACCUCUAUGGUAGUGUCCUGUAUCUAACCACCUCUAUGGUAGUGUCCUGUAUCUAACCACCUCUAUGGUAGUGUCCUGUAUCUAACCACCUCUAUGGUAUUGUCCUGUAACCACCUCUAUGGUAGUGUCCUGUAUCUAACCACCUCUAUGGUAGUGUCCUGUAUCUAACCACCUCUAUGGUAGUGUCCUGUAUCUAACCACCUCUAUGGUAGUGUCCUGUAUCUAACCACCUCUAUGGUAGUGUCCUGUAUCUAACCACCUCUAUGGUAGUGUCCUUAUCUAACCACCUCUAUGGUAGUGUCCUGUAUCUAACCACCUCUAUGGUAGUGUCCUGUAUCUAACCACCUCUAUGGUAGUGUCCUGUAUCUAACCACCUCUAUGGUAGUGUCCUGUAUCUAACCACCUCUAUGCUAGUGAGGUAAUGCCCAGCGAACUGGAAUGCUGCUGGUUGUCCAUUUUUACACAUUCAUGUAUGGCUGGGUGAGGAUCCGUGUGAGACCAUGGUUAGCCUGCUAUGCUAGGUGAGGAUCAGUGUGAGAACAUGGUUAGCCUGCUAUGCUUACAUCUGAACCUUGUGUACAGCUCUAACCCUAUCCAUCCCUUCCUUUGACUUGCCAUAGAUUACUUUACACACUCAAUAUGAGUCGACUUACCAUUUGGCUAAAAGCCCUUUCUCAAUAACAUGGACGAAAAAUUAAAUACGAGCACACGUUUUGUUUCAUGACGCUGUUCACAUAAUAUUGCGAAAUAUCAUCCUGCCGCAAUCCAUCAAUUAUUUAUUUGGAACAGGUUAGAUUUUUUUUGCGUUGUAUUGCACCCUCCACUGACAGGCCGCACCCUCCACUGACAGGCCGCACCCUCCACUGACAGGCCGCACCCUCCACUGACAGGCCGCACCCUCCACUGACAGGCCGCACCCUCCACUGACAGGCUGCACCCUCCACUGACAGGCUGCACCCUCCACUGACAGGCCGCACCCUCCACUGACAGGCCGCACCCUCCACUGACAGGCCGCACCCUCCACUGACAGGCCGCACCC
ensembl:lncRNA